GUCCUAGCCCUAAACGAUGGGUACUAGGUUGUGGACUUAACAUGGGUUCACAGCCGAAGCAAAAGUGUUAAGUACCCCGCCUGGGGAGUAUGGUCGCAAGGCUGAAACUCAAAGGAAUUGACGGGGGCUCACACAAGCGGUGGAGCAUGUGGCUUAAUUCGAGGCUACGCGAAGAACCUUAUCCUGGACUUGACAUGUGCGAAAGCGGUAGGAAGUAGGGGGCGGAAACGUUCCCCCAACGGUAUCCAAUCCGGAACCUACUACAGGUGCUGCAUGGCUGUCGU
rnacentral:rRNA from 1 species